rnacentral:rRNA from 1 species
UCAUCCGGUGUUCUCACCGGUGCACUCGGCCGUGCUCAGGCCAGCAUCGGUUUUGGCGGCUGGAUAAAGGUCUCUGUCACGUACCUCCUCUCGGGGAGGCCUUAUAGGGGAGACGACAUGCAACCAGCCUGGACUGAGGUCCGCGCAUCUGCUAGGAUGCUGGCGUAAUGGCUGUAAGCGG